AACUGCUGGAGCACUCUCCGCACUCCCUGCUCCUACUGUGCGCAGCCCGUCGUGGUGCCAGCCUCGCUCGGCACGGGCACUUGUCGUCCUCGCUUGGCAUUAACUUUCGACAACAGCCAGCAGAGUGUGCUAUGAACGCUGAGAAAAGAACAUCCUGCUUCUGGGAAAUUUAUAUAUAUCUCCAUAUAUAUUUAUAUAUAUCUAUCUCCAUAUAUAUAUACACAGAUACACAUAUGUACAGAAAUGCAGAUGAAGACAUUUUAAGUGGUUCUAAUACUUGCAUGAGUGGUAGGUAGCUCCUCCCGUCAAUUAAAAUACUUCUCUUGUCACAGA